rnacentral:rRNA from 1 species
UUCGCAAUGCCCGAAAGGGUGACGAAGCGACGCCGCGUGGGUGAAGAAGGCCUUCGGGUUGUAAAGCCCUGUCAGGAGUUAUGAAAUGUAGGUGCGAUAAUACCGUGCCUAUUUGACAAAGGCUCCAAAGGAAGCCACGGCUAACUCUGUGCCAGCAGCCGCGGUAAUACAGAGGUGGCAAGCGUUGUUCGGAAUUAUUGGGCGUAAAGAGCACGUAGGUGGGUUUGUAAGUCAGAUGUGAAAGCCUUCUGUUCAACGGAAGAAUUGCAUCUGAAACUGCGAGUCUUGAGUGUAGGAGGGGAGAGCGGGACUCUUGGUGGAGCGGUGAAAUGCGUAGAUAUCAAGGGGAACGCCGGCGGCGAAAGCGGCUCUCUGGCCUGUUACUGACGCUGAGUGCGCGAAAGCUAGGGGAGCAAAGAGGAUUAGAUACCCUUGUAGUCCUAGCCGUAAACGAUGGGCACUAAGUAGAGGGGUUUU